UACGUAGGGGGCAAGCGUUGUCCGGAAUUAUUGGGCGUAAAGAGCGCGUAGGCGGUCCGAUAAGUCGGCUGUGAAAGUCAGGGGCUCAACCCUUGGAAGCCGGCCGAUACUGUUGGACUAGAGUCCGGAAGAGGCGAGUGGAAUUCCCGGUGUAGUGGUGGAAUGCGUAGAUAUCGGGAGGAACACCAGUGGCGAAGGCGGUUGCCUGGAGCUUUGCUGACGCUGAGGCGCGAAAGCGUGGGGAGCGAUCCGG
rnacentral:rRNA from 1 species